rnacentral:rRNA from 1 species
GACGAACGCUGGCGGCGUGCCUAAUACAUGCAAGUCGAACGCUUCUUUCCUCCCGAGUGCUUGCACUCAAUUGGAAAGAGGAGUGGCGGACGGGUGAGUAACACGUGGGUAACCUACCCAUCAGAGGGGGAUAACACUUGGAAACAGGUGCUAAUACCGCAUAACAGUUUAUGCCGCAUGGCAUAAGAGUGAAAGGCGCUUUCGGGUGUCGCUGAUGGAUGGACCCGCGGUGCAUUAGCUAGUUGGUGAGGUAACGGCUCACCAAGGCCACGAUGCAUAGCCGACCUGAGAGGGUGAUCGGCCACACUGGGACUGAGACACGGCCCAGACUCCUACGGGAGGCAGCAGUAGGGAAUCUUCGGCAAUGGACGAAAGUCUGACCGAGCAACGCCGCGUGAGUGAAGAAGGUUUUCGGAUCGUAAAACUCUGUUGUUAGAGAAGAACAAGGACGUUAGUAACUGAACAUCCCCUGGCGGUAUCUAACCAGAAAGCCACGGCUAACUACGUG